rnacentral:rRNA from 1 species
AUUGAACGCUGGCGGCAGGCCUAACACAUGCAAGUCGAGCGGAUGAAGGGAGCUUGCUCCUGGAUUCAGCGGCGGACGGGUGAGUAAUGCCUAGGAAUCUGCCUGGCAGAGGGGGAUAACGUCCGGAAACGGGCGCUAAUACCGCAUACGUCCAGAGGGAGAAAGUGGGGGAUCUUCGGACCUCACGCUAUUAGAUGAGCCUAGGUCGGAUUAGCUAGUUGGUGGGGUAAAGGCCUACCAAGGCGACGAUCCGUAACUGGUCUGAGAGGAUGAUCAGUCACACUGGAACUGAGACACGGUCCAGACUCCUACGGGAGGCAGCAGUGGGGAAUAUUGGACAAUGGGCGAAAGCCUGAUCCAGCCAUGCCGCGUGUGUGAAGAAGGUCUUCGGAUUGUAAAGCACUUUUAGUUGGGAGGAAGAGCAGUAAGUUAAUACCUUGCUGUUUUGACGGUACCAACAGAAUAAGCACCGGCUAACUUCGUG